rnacentral:rRNA from 1 species
GAUGAAUGCUGGCGGUGUGCCUAAUACAUGCAAGUCGAGCGGUAACACUUCGGGUGACGAGCGGCGGACGGCUGAGUAACGCGUGGGAUCAUACCCCAAAGUGAGGGAUAACGCACCGAAAGGUGUGCUAAUACCGCCUAUGAUCUUCGGAUUAAAGGAUUUAUCCGCUUUGGGAAUGGCCUGCGUACGAUUAGAUAGUUGGUGAGGUAAUGGCUUACCAAGUCUACGAUCAGUAGCUGGUCUGAGAGGAUGAUCAGCCACAUUGGGACUGAGACACGGCCCAAACUCCUACGGGAGGCAGCAGUGGGGAAUAUUGGACAAUGGGCGCAAGCCUGAUCCAGCCAUGCCGCGUGAGUGAUGAAGGCCUUAGGGUUGUAAAGCUCUUUCGUCCGGGACGAUAAUGACGGUACCGGAAGAAGAAGCCCCGGCUAACUUCGUGCCAGCCGCCGCCGUAA